AUGAGAAUUAGGCUUAUCUCUGCUGUGCUGCUAUGUUUCCUGGGAGCAGGCCUUGUGGACAUGAAAGUAACCCAGACACCAAGGUACCUGAUCAAAAGAAUGGGAGAGAACGUUUUGCUGGAAUGUACCCAGGAUAUGAACCAUGAACGCAUGUACUGGUAUCGACAAGACCCCGGUCUGGGGCUACGGCUGAUCCAUUUUUCAUAUGAUGUUGAUAGUAACAGUGAAGGAGACAUCCCUGAAGGAUACAGAGUCUCUCGGGAGAAGCGAGAGGAUUUCUCCCUGAUUCUGGACUCUGCUGAAGCCAAGCAGACAUCUGUGUACUUCUGUGCCAGCACUGCCCCUGCCCAGUAUUUUGGAGACGGGACUCGACUUUCUGUUCUAGAGGAUCUUAGCAAGGUGAGCCCACCCAAGGUCACCUUGUUUGAGCCAUCAAAAGCAGAGAUCACAGACAAACAAAAGGCUACCCUCGUGUGCUUGGCCAGAGGCUUCUACCCGGACCACGUGGAGCUGAGCUGGUGGGUGAACGGGAACGAGGUCCACAAUGGGGUCAGCACAGACCCUCAGCCCUACAAGAACAACUUGACCUACAGCCUGAGCAGCCGCCUGAGGGUCUCUGCGACCUUCUGGCACAAUCCUCGCAACCACUUCCGCUGUCUAGUGCAGUUCUAUGGACUUACAGAGGAAGAUCAGUGGACAGGGGACUCACCCAAACCUGUCACACAGAACAUCAGUGCAGAGGCUUGGGGCCAAGCAGAUUGUGGCAUUACCUCAGCAUCCUAUCAACAGGGGGUCCUGUCUGCCACCAUCCUUUAUGAGAUCCUGCUAGGGAAGGCCACCCUGUAUGCUGUGUUUGUCAGUGCCCUGGUGCUGAUGGCCAGGGUCAAAAGAAAGAAUUCCUGAAGGUGAAUCCAAGAAUGUCGAACCUAAUUAUGGUGGUAGUACAGAUUCUCUUUUCCCUCCACUUCUGAAGCUCUGUUCUCACUUCUCCGAGCAUCCCAAAGUCAGCCUGCCAAUUAUGUAUACUUUCACAUGUACGUCUGAAACCCUUGUGACCUG